rnacentral:rRNA from 1 species
GACAGAGGUGCCGAGCGUUAGGCGGAAUCCCUGGGCUUAAAGCGUGUGUAGGCGGACCGUUAAGUACCUUGUGAAAUCCCCCGGCUCAACCGGGGAACGGCUGGGUAUACUGGCGGUCUUGAGCCAUCCAGGGGCAGUCGGAACAGACGGUGGAGCGGUGAAAUGCGUAGAUAUCGUCUGGAACGCCGAAGGUGAAAACAGACUGCUGGGGAUGAGCUGACGCUGAGACACGAAAGCCAGGGGAGCGAACGGG